GAGGAACAAAUAGGUGUAUGUGUGUUGAUUAGGCAGUGUAAUGUUAGCUGGCUGCAACUCAAGAAUCAGCAGCUGCAUGCACCACCACAUCAGCUCAUGUCCUCACAACUGAACAAUUC
rnacentral:pre_miRNA from 17 species